GAUUCCAGGAGGAAUGACAAAACCCUGUAAAUUGCCAUUGAAGAAUUGUUAUUUUGUUUAAGAAGUUUAAGAACAAACUGUUACAGUGGGUGUAAGAAAAGAAAAAGGAAGAAGGAGAGGGAGCAUGCAAACAUGACACUAAAUGGGUCCUUUGUAAGGUUAGUUGUAAAAAUCAAGAAGAAAAUGACACAUAUAGUGAUCACGAAGAAGAGGAUAACGGAAAAAAAACUGCCAGCAUUUCACAGGGAUUAACUGUGAUUUUUCACAACAAAAUACUGUAUUGAAAAAUGUACCUUAUAAUCAGUGGAGUUGUAAGGCAGUAUUUUCAUUUGUAUGGUACAAUGACAGUUAAAAGUGAAAUCCUGGCUACUGGGACACUGAAGGAAGUUUUUUUUUUGAUAUUGUAAAGUUUUCAUUCACACAGAGAGCUGCAGACAGAAAGAAUAAGUGACAAAAUAGUGAGGUGGACAGGAGAAAGACUUUAGGGACCAUCAAAACUGAAAUGGAUAUAAAAUUUGGGGUAAAAUAGGUGAAUACAAUUGUAGCAAUGCUACUAGUAGUUAGAACUGCAUCUCCCAGCAGUCCUUGCAUGGGCAGUUGGGGGUCAAAGGUGGCCAGUGGGGUUUAAAAGGAGGGCAGGUGUCAAAGAAAGAAGAAAAAAGUUUAUUUUGUUUUAUUGUGUGUUAACGUUUAUCUGUCGUGCUGCCUGCUGUUAUUUGUUGGGGUCUGGAUCGUCUUUCUACUUGUGCACUGAGGACUGUGUUGGAAUUCAUUGGCUUUCCCGGAAGAGAGGAGCGCUCCUGAACCGUCCAUCGAUCCGUCGUUAUCCUUUCAGCAGCUACCGAUAGGUCUUGGAAAGAAGGAAUGUCAGCCUUUCAGAUUCGAAGAGAUAUGGCUUCAAGUCAAUACCAGUCAGAAGCAGAGAAAAGAAAAAAAUGAAGGAAUGAAGAAGCAGCUUGUGCAGCAUUUGCAGGUUCUAAUUGCAGAAGACAUAGAGGGGAGCAGCAUGGAAUUGCUGGGGUGUAACUAUCAGCAACCACCAAAACUGAUCUGUGGUCUCCUUGAUGUUAAAUUUUACAGAGGAGAUUCUGCAACACACUCUUUAACCGGCUACAAAGAAAGUGUCAAAGAAAAUGCAAAGCUUCAGCUCGGUGGCAAACUUGUCAGUGCAAUUUCUGAUGAGUCUUAAAUGGGCUCUAUUAAUACAACAGAAGAAGUGCCUUUAGUUUUUCAUAGUGUGUGAGCAAUUUAAAUGUCAUUUAGCCUGUUUCAUCUGUUCAUUAUUGAAAUCUCUUUCUUCAACACUGUUACUGCUGAAGGACUUAAUAUAGCAAAUAUGGGUGCUAUGUGUCUUAGGUUUUGAAAUUUCAGAUUAAGUCUAUUGUAAUUAAUCAAGUAAUGCUAAUCUUGGUGUAAUUGCCCUUGGUUUCAGACCAGACAACAACAAAAUAAUGCUCAUCUUGUGAGGUUUCUUUCUAUCAGGAGCUCUGUCUACUGGUUUGUCCUUGUAGCAAAUCUUGGGACUGGAAGAGACAGAGUCAAAUGCCCUGACUGGGCAGUUUCUCGAUGCUGCAGGGAGAGAAGGAGAAGAUAAUGUUAGCAAUAGAGUUGUUCCAGCAGGUUAUUAAAUAGCAUGUGUGGCAGGCAGCCAGAACUCUUGCCCGGCCGGAAUGCCUAGAGUGUGGAAGGACUAGGGGAGAGAGUAUUUUUGGGACAGUUUCACUCCCGGGCCAAUAUAAGGCAGUCCCCUUGGUUUCCAGCAGGGCCACUGGUUAUGGGAGCUCAAACCUUUUGCCAGGGGACGCAUAGACCUUUUCAGGACCUUAUUUGGCCACACUUCUGCACCCGGAAGUGUGGUCAGAAGGAGCUCUUUGGGCACCUGGAGUUCUUCCGGGGGUCCUAUAAAAGGGGUCAGUUCCCACCAUUUAUGGGUCAGAGUCAGGAGGAAUAGGACAAAACCUGACAAGGAAUGAAGGGAGAAGUACUGGGGGCAAGGAAAGGAUUGAACUGUCUAUUGGGUGUCUGGUGAUUGGUGCACUGUGCUGUGACGAGCAGGGUUAAACGCUCCCCAAUUUUAAAUAAACGGUUGUGUGGCAAAAUCUGUCUCCUGCUUGUCUGUGUCCGGGUUAGUGCGGCUAUACAUGGCCUGGUGGCUUAACAUACGACAGAGACAAUAAGGAGGUGCUCUGAUGCUCAUGUGUGACAAUACAUACACACACACAUACAUUUUGAACACAUACAAUUUGACAGCUUUCGAAUACGCAACACCCGUCCCGGGACAGCCAUGGUCGGGAGCGUCAUCAACACAGGU